rnacentral:lncRNA from 1 species
CUCGGACGGAGAUCCUAGGUGGAGGGGAUGUCCACGUCAAUACUAACAACAAUUAACCUCACCUGCCUAGUGUUGUACCAUCCCCGCUCACCUGAUACCCUCACCUGCCUUCAUCAAGGCAAGGAGGUUCACUACAACUCAGCAAGAGGCGGGGUGAGUGUUCUGACGGAGGCCGGGGAGGUGACUCGCUCGGCCCUCCUCAUCCAGCGGGCGACGAGGUUAGACGCUGGUAACUACACCUGUCAACCACGCGGUGCUGAACCUGCCACAACUACGGUACACGUCCUGCACGGUGAGCAUCGGGCGGCCAUGCAGGGUGGCGUGGGCGGCGGCGGCUUCCCUGCUAGUACCUGCCUGGUGGCUUGGGCGGUCUUGUGGUGUGUGUGGUGGGCGGGGAUGUCCUUUAACCACCUAUUAGGCUGCCUGGUGACAUGGGCGAUCUUGUGUUGGGCGGAAGUGAAUAUUAACCACCUAGUAAGCUGUCAGACGGCAUUGGCAGUCAUACCCCUUCGUCAGGUACUGUGGUGUGUGGUGGUAUGGUGUGUGUGGUGGGUAGGUCUUCCCCUUCAUCAUCUAGCACCACUGAGACGCCACCUACCACCACCACCUUUAUAUCACCUAGAGAGGCGAGAACCACCUGUCAACCAGCUGCUGCCUUUAGCGCCCCUCCCUACCUAGACCAUCAAGAUCACUAGGCCUCCUCAACCCCAGGGACCAAUUAGAAUUAAGUAAAUAAUGGAUCUGGGUGAUAAUUCGUUCAUAUAUAAGUUUGAGAAGUUAACAACCCUACCAGUUAACCAGUCUCCCAGUUAUCAUCCAGUCUACCAACUACUAAUCAGUCUACCUCUUAACAACCGGUUAGCAACAAAUAAACAACCAAUCGCCUACUAACCAUUAACAACCAAUCUACCACUUAACAAGCAGUCAGCUACCAGUUAACGAAACAGUUAUCAAUGAUUUAGACUGUUAGUGAAAAUCUAAUGGGGGAAAAUAGACUGUUAACUAUUAUAUGCAGGUUACAUACAGUCCACUCCCAGUCAAUGUGAUAGUAAGUGUAUUUAGACUGUUAACAAUCGACUGGCAGCUAAGGACCAGUCAGUUGCCAUUACUCGGUUAAUUGGGUGUAGUUUGACUGUCAGGUAUCGUUUCACAGUCUAAAAUAACUGUAAAUUUCCAUGAUAGUUAGUAAUAAGAAAUUAACUGGAGAUAAAGCAGUUUUAAACCAACAUAUGACCAAUGACUGACCAGUCAGCAAACAGUCCACGACCAGUUAGUGACCAGUUAACAGUCAACAACCAAUCAGUGACCAGUUAACAACCAAGAACCAAUAAACUUUCAAUUAACAGUCAAAAAUUAAUCAACCAACACUUAAAACAGUCAACAACCACCAAGUAGCCAGUGAACAACCAGUCUACAGUUAACAGUCAGAAUUAUCGUUUAAGUCUUUAUUAUUCCCCACCGCUAAUGAGGGUAUUAUCCGUCUGUGUUUGUUUGAGUGUUAAUGGGGGCAGUAAUUGCGUUAUAUAAUGAACUGUGUCCAUUGUGGUAAUUAAUUAUUGGUUGGCAGGUAUACUAAUAAGGUAAUG